UGGUAGCUUGAUGGGGAUGGCAUUGAAUCUAUAAAAAGGAGUCCCAUAUCUUCCAGGAAUGGGCCCGCCUUGAUCACCUGGCUGUGCUCAGCUACUGGCUGGAGCUACCUAUGAAAGCCUCAGAGCAAACACAUUGAUAGAUUUCAGAGCACUGUUGCUGGGCCCCGGUAUGAUUUUGCUUCCUGUCAUUGGAGGUCUGUGAGGCCCAUUCUUAGAGAUACGAGAAAUCGCUUCCCAUUAAAGUCUUAAAAUUGAGUCUUAAAUCCUUAAAAAAGCAUCAUGAACCCUAUAAAUUUUAGUCUCCACCCACCACUCAAGCCUUACCCCACCCCACUUUUUUACUGCUCCGGUCAUACCAGGCUUCUCUCAAUUCUAGAAAUGCACCAUGCUCUAGAAAGGCACCAAUCAAGGCCUUUAUUAAUUCAGCAUCCCUUACCAGCAAAGCUCACUCUGAUCCCAUCACCACCUAUGCCUGGCUAUAUUUUUACUGAGGCUUUGCUCAUAUCUUUGCUUAGAUGCCAUCUCCCCAACUCCUCUGCCUAUCCCCCCCCAGCUUGGGUUCAGUGCACUAUUAUGUGUAGCAGUGGGUUCUUCUCCUUUUUAGAUGAGUCACUUGAGCAAUGGUCUGUCUGGCAUCUGAAUUUCCUGCCAGAUGAGGUGGCUCCACAGCAGCAGAGCCUGUCUGCUCAUUCACCACUGGACCCCAGGGCCAAACCCAGGGUGAUGCUGAAGAAAUGUUCAAUAACACAUUUGACUGACUGGUAAAAGGACAUCAGGUAGACAGCAGCUGUUAGCAAGAAAUGGGUAGAGUCGCAGGUUUAGAAUGCUAGAUAAGCUUGAAGCUUAGGAGAAAGAACUUAGUGAAAAACCUAGAACAGGAAGAUUAGAAAGGAAAAUUUUAAAAAAUAAUUUAGUUUGCAAAAAAAAUUAAGGCAAAGAUCUUACUAACAAUAUGAUCAUUUUGCUGAACUGAGUGUGAAUCUAGGAUCUAAAUAUAGAUAUUUUUCUAACAACAUGGGCCCUGUAGGCUACACCAGUCAGUAUUAAAUUUAGCUGCAUACAGCAGGAAACCUAAAUAUGAACCUUUAUCGGUUGGGGAUCCCAGCAUGAAAGAGAUGGCACAUUGACAUUUUGGGCUGGAUGAUUAAAAAAAAAAAAAAAGG
rnacentral:lncRNA from 1 species